UUAAAAGUUAUUAAGGGCGUAUGGCGGAUGCCUAGGCUCUCAUAGGCUAUGAAGGACGUGACAAGCUGCGAUAAGUUUCGAUAAGAUGCAAAUAAUCUUUG
rnacentral:rRNA from 1 species